AAUUUGUUUAUGAUGAUAACAUAGUUCAACUGAGAUACUGUGAUGUUAUUCAGUAGCUAUGUCUUUCGCUCCUAUCUGAAAUAAAUU